rnacentral:lncRNA from 1 species
AAGGGGGGGAAAAGCAGCCCAGAAAAAAUUACGCAAAUGGCAAGGUAGUGACAAGGCAUCUAUCAAAGUGGCUCUGGAAAUUCCAAUUUUUAAAGUGCUAUAAAAAUAUCAUUAUUAAUGAUGAUUGACUGGGUUUUCAGAGCCAAGAUAUUUCAAGGCUGCUAAGUUAGAGUUGAGUGCAAAAGCGGGGGUGCUAAAAUGGCUUCAGGGUUCCUUCACUUUGUUUCUUCAUUGAUUUUUAAGUAACAUGUGAACACAGUCAAAUUGAUGAUUUUCAUUUUGAAUUAGUUUGCCCUCUGUCAUGCAGAGCCUUCCAUCUUUUCCUGACUGUCAGUGCCUAAUUCAUCUUCAUCAAGUCCCCAGCAGGAAGAUUCAGAUCUUAUAUUACUCUUUGUUUUACAGUUUUAUUGUUUACAGGAAAUUGGGACACAGAGAAAAAUAGAGAGGAAUCUACCCAAGCUUUAAGUAGAACUACUCAAGGGGAGAAGGUACAACUCCACUUCUGGGCCUGGAGAUUCCUGAAAGAUAUUCGGUCUUGGUCUGUGUAAAUCUCAUACUUUGUACCUGAUGCCUUCAUGAACCUAGAAGUGCUCUCCCUUUUACAGAGGAGAAACUAAGGCUAAAGAAAAGCAUUUAGAGCUGCUGCAGCUUCUGAAGAUUCAUUCUUGCAGUCCUAUGGGAAGUCACCAGUUUGUUCUUUCAACAGUGUGCCAAAAGUGGAAAAAGGAAGAGUUUAAGCAACUGUCAACCAGGAAACUUUCUGUUUGUUUAUUUUUAAAAAAGAAGACUUAUCAAGCUAGCCAAGAAAUUUUGUUGAAGUUACAGGCUGUCAUUCUUUAUAAUCGCUCUACUUUCUUUUUCUUUCUGAAUCCUGCAUUUCCAUGGAGGAUAGAUAAUCUUGG